rnacentral:lncRNA from 1 species
CAGCUGAUGUCUCAAGCAGCUGGAUACUGUGGCGAUGGGAAUCAGACGAGGAGACCGCAGUCAAAAAGAAAGUUACUCAGCAACUGAUUUCCUCUCUUUGGACUGAAAAAUUAAACAGAUACUAAAUUAUGACAGUGAAUUUAGAAAGGAGGGCUCCAAGGGCUUGAAAGAACAUAUCUGGGAUGAUAUGAUGCUUCUAAGAGUACUGCAAUCACAUUGUGGCGAUCACCGGAGCAUGCCGCAUAACUACCUCCUUGGCUAAUCUGCUGUCUUCUUGGUGAUGACUAAUCCUCUUCUAUUAAACAGCAGUAAUGCUGGAAGAACUCAACUGUACAAGUGUAAUGAAGCCAGUAUUCUCCCUGGACAGAUUAGCUACAACUGACUUGACACAUACCAUCAUAAGGGCUUCAAACCUGACAAACUCUGUGCUUGCUUCUGAUUUAUGCCAUCAAGCUCCUCAGAGAAGGGAUGGAAUCCAAGUGUUCCGCUUGGUAGUACUGAUGUGCUUAACUGCCAGUUAAGGAAAGUUGCCCCUCCCCCUCACAUCCCCGCCCCUUGUGCCACCAGAACAAGGGUCCUGCGCCGUGUGCUAUCAUCAAAGAGCCGAGGCCUGUCGCUCUCUCCUGCUUGUGGUUUAGGGAAAUUUGAGCAAAGGAACUGCUUCUACAGUCUCCCAGCUGCCUCUUCACCCCUUGAGGAUGUCCAGACGCUGUUGAAUAUCUCGUUCCCAAUGGAUGACAUCAUCUUGAUAAGCUCAACUGGCCAGUCAUCCAGGUCCAGAGAUCAGACUCGGGAAAGUUGAUGUGCAUGGCGGACACCUGUGCAGAACAGACGGUGGAAUGGCUUGGAGAACUGGGCAGCAACUUGCAGGGUCCUAUGGGCAGCUGCUGCUUCUUCCUUGUGGCAACAAUCUUCUGGGCAACCUCCUGGAAGUCCCUUUCCACGUUCAGCCCAUACAUAGCACACGUCUCAUAGUACGUGCACCGCUUCAGGUCGUUGGAGCACUUCCUUACCCUGGCAUCAUCAAUGACCCUCAGGUUAGUGGAACUUAUGGCAUCCUGGGUUCCCACCAGAACCAGAGGAAUCUCGCUCAUGUUCCGAUAGUUGGCCAUUCCACUGUAGUAAACAGUCUGGAAACUUAUUUCAUCCUCCAAGCUGAAAACAAAUAUAACUGCAUCCACCGACAUGGCAAACUGCGCCUCCAGGGGGUCCCCUUCAUAUUUAAUCAGCAGCAGAUAGCUCUGUCCAUCAACAACAAUCUCUUUCUUGAACCUGCCACCACUUUGAGCUCCGGGACAGAUCGACUCAGCGUCCAUUCCUAGCUGUUCACAAAGACAUCUUCGAUGGCAAUGACGUGCUCCCGGAUCUGGUUCUGAAGCACCGGCUCCUCCACGCGCUCCAGCAGCUGGUAGAUGGGAGUAGACGUUGGGGUGGACCAACUCGAAGUGCUGGAUCUCGGCCGGGAUGGCAGCCAAGUUGGCCAGCUGCUGCUGGUAGUUCAUGGUGCAGGCACCAGGCCGGGAGCUGCCUGCCCCCGCCGCCCC